rnacentral:rRNA from 1 species
CCCGUUCCCAUUCCGAACACGAUCAGUUAAGCCCACCCGCGCCGAUGGUACUUGGGGGGAGGCCCCCUGGGAGAGUAGGGCACUGCCGCUC